ensembl:lncRNA
UCCUUUAAGAGGUGAUUGGGUCAUGGGGGCAGAACGCUCACGAAGGGGAUUAGUGCCCUUAUAAAAGAGGACUGAGGCCUCUCACUUGGCGCUUCUACCAUGGGAGGAUACAAGGAGGAAUCUGCGACUCAGACGAAGCCUUCACCUGAGCAUCCUGACACCCUGAUCUCAGAACUGUGAGAAGUCCCUGCCCACAUAACCAUCCACUGACUUGGAAUGCUCAAUUUGGACUGUUUCAAGAGGAAGACUGGCCCUGAGCUAACAUCCAUGCCCUUCUUCCUCUGCUUUAUAUAUGGGACGCUUACCACAGCAUGGAUUUUGCCAAGCAGUGCCAUGUCUGAACCUGAGAUCCGAACUGGCAAACUCUGGGCCGCACAGAAGCGGAACGUGCGAACUUAGCUGUACCACCGGGCCAGCCCCCCUUUCUUGUUUCUUGAUGCAGUGUUCCUUACUGGCAUAUUAGUGGGUGGAAAGCUAAAAGCCACAUUUCUAAGACUCUGUUGCAGUUAAGAUUCUGCAUAUUAUCUACAUUAAACCAAGCCAAAGCACCAGUAUUUGAUGUUCGAGGCAAAGAAAAUACCAUGAAGCAGAGAUACGACUCCUCUGGCAAGCAUGACCAUAAUCAUGUUUGGUUUUUCUGUGUGAACUGCAUCAGAAAUCUCAAGUCAGGAACCUAGUUUCAUAGCUAUGGAGUUGUGGGGCAAAGAUUGUGUUGGCCCAGUUCAUGGCAGACACAUUCCGGAGUCAACAAUAACAAUGGGAACUGGAGCAGAGGCAUGAGACUCAGGGGUACUGCUCACUGCAGAAGAAGAGACAGCUGCAUUCCAAAAAACAGAGAUAUGAAGUGAAAUUCAGCACAUGGAAUGGCUUUAAAUUUUUGAUACUGGAUCAAGGAUGGCAGCGCGUUAUAAAACAGCUGAACAAGGAAGCAAGACAUGAGAGCAGACUAGUAAAGAGAGAUAUUAAUGGGAUCACAAUGAAGCAGAGAUCACAAAAGUAAACAAAAUCCAGAGAACAUAAAAGUGGAAUUCCGAGUCUGGGGGGAGAUCUAUGUGAAUAAUCACCAGCCAGAAAUCUGCAAGACCGAAGGAUCAAGAAGAAUGGCCAAGCAAAGCAGUCUCUGGUCAAAGUCCAAAGAACUAACAGAAAUUUGCAUUGCGCUAACACUGGGAAGAGAGGGACACUGCGAUGAGCUUCCCCAUAGAAUUUAGAAGACCUCAUUUACUCUGUAUUCUCGCCCACCUCCACCUGUGGCAACCUGAGCUAAAGAGGGCUAAUAGAAUAGGAGUAAGAACCUUGGCAAAGUUAUUUUUUCCCUCUGACACCACAUAUAUAUGGUCGCAUAUAUGUACGUCACCACAUGACAUAUAAUUAAUUAUAUUCAUAAUUAAUAGUGAGAACUAGCAUUCACAUAGCACUUGUCAUGAUUCUGACAUCUAAACAGUGGUAGUUCUUCAUGUUUCUAGACCAGAGUUGUUGUUCUAUGUUAGAGGCAAAGACCAUGACAAUUCACUUGCUUUGUCUGGCACUGAUGGAUAAGUACUUCUGACAAUACUGUUAAACAAACUUGGUGAUUCAAAAUUCAUGUGUUCAAAUAUUUAUAAAGUAGGAGGUAGAGAUAAUAAAAAUUUAUGAAAAGGUCAAUUUUUAACUAUUAAAUUUACAAAAACUACAAAUGUUAAUGCACAGUCCUUUAUACAAGGAAUAAUUGAAGGAGAAGCAGCCUAGUAAAUUCAAUAUGCGUGGCUUACAAUAGUCAAAAAAUUUAGAAUCAUCUUAAAUGCUCAAUAGUAUCAAGACUAUUAUCAUUUUAAAUAUGUUGUAGCAACAUGAUAGAAUUUAUAUAUAGUAACUUAAGAAAAGUGCAAGAUAAAAAUGAUACACUAAAAUCACAAAUGUUAAAAUAUAUAGCCAUAAAACCUAAAGAGACUGUACAUACCUGUUGGUAAAUGAGAAUGUAUAUGAUUUUUCUCUUCUUUUAAACUUCAUGUAAUGCUAUAUAUGGUUUUAAAUAGACAUGGGAUUAAUAAAUCUUAUUUAUUAAUUUGUAUUAUUUCAGUAAUAUCUGGGAAACCUGCAAGAUAAAUAUUGUUAUCUCCACUAAAAUAGGAGGAAGAGAAGAAAGAGGAGGAGGAGGAGGAGGACGAGGAGGAGGAAAUGAUGGUUAAACUGGUCACACAAUUAUUAGGUAGACGAUUCAGAUUUGAAACGUGAUUGGUCUGCCUCGGAAACUUACCACCUUUACUUUAUGUUAUGCUUUCUCCGUGCUACCUUCACACCUUAGAGCCCCAUACAAUUUUUUCCAGGGCACAACCUUUCAUUUCUGAUGAAGAAUGGUAAGUAGAAAUAAUUCAUGAUAAUUCAGCAUUGGCUGAAUGCAAAAGCCUUCAAACCUUCCCAAGUUUCCCUCACUCACUCCCGAUACAGGCCUCAAGUUCUUCCUUGUGAAAGCAUUUCUAUUUCUUGAUAGAACUAAACGGCAUCCCCCAAAUUUAGUCUUUUUCUAUCAGUGAAAUUUUAAAAAUUGGAUGGAGAAAGUGGGUUCUCUCAAAAUCUGUAUUCUCAUACUGAAAUAUAUGUUCUUAAUUUUGAAAUAAUGUUAGAUGUAUAAGUUGCAAAAAUAGUACAGAGGUUUCUGAAUAUCUAUCAGCUUCUGCUAAGCUUAACAUCUGACAUACAAUACAUAGUAAAAUUAUCAAUACCAGGAAAUUAACAUUGAUACAAUCUUAUUAAUUAAAUUAUAGAU